ACAGAAGACGAAGAGCUGGAAUAGAGCUCGCCUCGGCUCUGCUGGCCUUGGCUGCAGCUCUUCCAGAAACCCGGGGCGCCCACAGAAGAAUCUCUUACCUGGCUCUCUCUUCAGGGAUGACAUCAUCGGCUCACACCAGUCUUCCAGGACCACCUUCUGGAUGCCAAGGCUGCUGCUCGAGUACCUGCUGUGCACCUCUACCUCCUGGUACCCCAGCCACUCCCUCAAGUUGCCUGCAUGUUAUAUGGCCUAGCCAAGGAGCACGGAUUCCAGGAACCCACUACCAUACAGAGCAACUCCUUGUGGACCCCCCUGGGAUCAGGACAGCGAGGGACAAGCGACAAAGAGGAUCAUCAGUGGCCAGCUAGUUUCUCUGGGGUUCAAACCUUGAACCAGUGCCCUAGUGAGGGGGCACUGGCCAUGGCCCUUGACCUUUGCUCUGCUUGUGUCUUGAGUCUGAGCCCUUUCCUGUACAUCUGUGCUCGUGUUCAUCUGCUAGUGAACUGGAGUGCUGCCCUCCCCGAGGAGGGUCGUCCCUUGUGACUGAUCAUGCUGUCCUAACAAUGUCCUGAGCAAAAGGGUCCCUUUGGGAACCUCUCAGGAGGGGGACCCGGGUCAGGGGCGACCAGCAUCUUGCUGGCAACUCCGUGGGUGGGGUGGGGUGGGGUGCUUCCUUCUGGAAUGAGCACGUGGCUGACCCCCCAAGGCAUGUCCCCUCCCCCUCCUCCACCCACCUUCUCGGAGAUGUCCCUUUUGGGGUAGUGGGGACAUUAGGAGCAACCUCCUAGGGUUGUUGUGAGAAUUAAAUGAACUGCAGCAGCCUGAGGCAGGGCUGGGCAGAGACCUCAGCACAUGUUUGUUGAAAGGUUUGCAGGUGGAUCUAGUCCUCCCGUUCAUGGCUCAUGUGUCUCAACCAUUCUCUCGCAGACUCCUGCAGCCCCUAUGCCCAGGGCUCUCCUUGCGCCAGCCCCGGCUUCUCGAGGCCUGUCUACACUCGCUGCUUUCCUUCCUCACCUCCAAUUUCCCCUCCAACCCACUGCUUCCUGACUCGCUCUUCUCCAUCGAACGGCUCUCGCUCAGGUUCCACGAGCUGCCCAUCUCCACAGAAGAGCAGCUGGCAUUGCCCACCGGCCAUGCCGGCUGAAGAAAAGAAGACUGAGGACCCCAGGAUGCCCAGCGCGAGGACCCCAGGAAGCCCAGCGCGAGGACUCCACCCACGACGCCCAGCGCGAGGACUUCACGCACAACACGUUGCAACCCUCCUGGAUUAGGCCAAAGCCAUCAUCUGGAAUCCUGCGUGGGACCCUGGACACACGGACACAGACACCUGCCCCCAGGACCCUCCAACUGUAAAUCGAUUGGAAGCGCCCUUGUGAGCUGGGGCCUUCAAAGGGCUGAGGAGAAAAUGCAGGCCGAGAGACCAGCUUCUCAAAUAGGCUUCAAGCCUCCAUGACCUGAGCUCACCCCCUGGAAAUGUCUGGAAAACAUAAUGGGCAGGUUUUCUGUCUUCAAAGUUUCCAUCAAAACCUCUUCAAGUUCUUUAUUGUUUAGGACUGAGACACUUGGGGACAGUAAUGGGGACUUUCUUUUGUAUCUGUCUUGAAAGGCCAAAAUAUUUUUAUAUUGCUGUAGACAAAGCCACCUAUUUACAAAUGGACUCUUGUUCCGUCGUUUCCCACCAGGAAGACCGUACUAUGUUUGUGUCUCUAUGUAUUCUGGGGUCUUGAAACAGGUUUCUCAUGGGGAUGGCCAUUCACUAGAGCCCAGAGGGGCAGAAGGGGAAGUGUCUACCCUGCCAAGGGGGUCUGGGGAAGGAGGGGGGCUAGUCUCAGAUUUGCUCCUUGUAUGUCUAGGGUAAACCCUGGGAGAAUCUGGUGGUAAAAGAACAUAUGCUGUGUUUGCCCCACA
rnacentral:lncRNA from 1 species